rnacentral:misc_RNA from 1 species
UCCGGCUUCUCGCCGGCAGUCCUCUUCGAGUGCCCGGCAUUACCCGCUGGCAACAAAGAGCAGGGGUUGCGCUCGUUGCGGGACUUAACCCAACAUCUCACGACACGGGCUGACGACAGCCAUGCAGCACCUGUGCGCGCUCCCUCGCGGGUCCCUUGCCUUUCGGCUCGGUACCACGCGCAUGUCAAGCCCGGGUAAGGUUCUGCGCGUUGCAUCGAAUUAAACCACACGCUCCGCUGCUUGUGCGGGCCCCCGUCAAUUCCUUUGAGUUUCAGCCUUGCGGCCGUACUCCCCAGGCGGGGCACUUACUGCGUUAGCGACGGCACCGGGAGGGUCGCUCCCCCCGACGCCUAGUGCCCAUCGUUUACGGCGUGGACUAC